rnacentral:rRNA from 1 species
UACGUAGGGGGCUAGCGUUGUCCGGAAUCAUUGGGCGUAAAGAGCGUGUAGGCGGCCAGAUAAGUCCGCUGUGAAAUCUCGAGGCUCAACUUCGAGCUGUCGGUGGAAACUGUCUGGCUAGAGUCCGGAAGAGGAGAAUGGAAUUCCUGGUGUAGCGGUGAAAUGCGCAGAUAUCAGGAAGAACACCCGUGGCGAAGGCGGUUCUCUGGGACGGUACUGACGCUGAGACGCGAAGGCGUGGGGAGCGAACAGG